UCGAGUUGAUCUGAUCGGCAGUGUGAACCUAGCUUGAUAUGUGUGUGUGACUUUAGCUAGGUUCACACUGCCGAUCAGAUCAACUCGAU
rnacentral:sRNA from 1 species